rnacentral:rRNA from 1 species
GACUUGACAUCUCCUGAAUUACUCUUAAUCGAGGAAGUCCCUUCGGGGACAGGAAGACAGGUGGUGCAUGGUUGUCGUCAGCUCGUGUCGUGAGAUGUUGGGUUAAGUCCCGCAACGAGCGCAACCCUUAUUGUUAGUUGCUACUAUUAAGUUAAGCACUCUAACGAGACUGCCGCGGUUAACGUGGAGGAAGGUGGGGAUGACGUCAAAUCAUCAUGCCCCUUAUGUCUAGGGCUACACACGUGCUACAAUGGCUGGUACAACGAGCAGCAAACCCGCGAGGGGGAGCAAAACUUGAAAGCCAGUCCCAGUUCGGAUUGUAGGCUGAAACUCGCCUACAUGAAGUUGGAGUUGCUAGUAAUCGCGAAUCAGCAUGUCGCGGUGAAUACGUUCCCGGGUCUUGUACACACCGCCCGUCACACCAUGAGAGCCGGUAACACCCGCAGCCCGUGAGGUAACCGUAAGGAGCCAGCGGUCGAAGGUGGGAUUGGUGAUUGGGGUGAAGUCGUAACAAGGUAGCCGUAGGAGAACCUGCGGCUGGAUCACCUCCUUUCUAGGGA